AUACGUAGGGUGCAAGCGUUAAUCGGAAUUACUGGGCGUAAAGCGUGCGCAGGCGGUUUUGUAAGACAGUGGUGAAAUCCCCGGGCUCAACCUGGGGACUGCCAUUGUGACUGCCAGGCUGGAGUGCGGCAGAGGGGGAUGGAAUUCCGCGUGUAGCCGUGAAAUGCGUAGAUAUGCGGAGGAACACCGAUGGCUAAGGCAAUCCCCUGGGCCUGCACUGACGCUGAUGCAAGAGAGCGUGGGGAGCAAACAGUAUUAGAUACCCUGGUAGUCCACGCCCUAAACGAUGUCAACUGGUUGUUGGGGAUUUAUUUUCUCAGUAACGAAGCUAACGCGUGAAGUUGACCGCCUGGGGAGUACGGCCGCAAGGUUAAAACUCAAAUGAAUUGACGGGG
rnacentral:rRNA from 1 species